ACAUCUUCUCUGCUGUCAGGAAGAUCCCAUCCACAGAAGUCUGAGGAAUAAAGCCUUGAAGACGGCUGUGGGAAGAGUGAUAAAAGGCCAAUUCUCCAACAAAUAAGGACAAGGAAUCUCCUCCUGAAUCUGCCAGAGAUGGGCGGAUGGAGGAUAUUUAAGGAAU